rnacentral:rRNA from 1 species
GAUGGGAGCUUGCUCCCUGAUGUUAGCGGCGGACGGGUGAGUAACACGUGGGUAACCUGCCUGUAAGACUGGGAUAACUCCGGGAAACCGGGGCUAAUACCGGAUGGUUGUYUGAACCGCAUGGUUCAGACAUAAAAGGUGGCUUCGGCUACCACUUACAGAUGGACCCGCGGCGCAUUAGCUAGUUGGUGAGGUAACGGCUCACCAAGGCGACGAUGCGUAGCCGACCUGAGAGGGUGAUCGGCCACACUGGGACUGAGACACGGCCCAGACUCCUACGGGAGGCAGCAGUAGGGAAUCUUCCGCAAUGGACGAAAGUCUGACGGAGCAACGCCGCGUGAGUGAUGAAGGUUUUCGGAUCGUAAAGCUCUGUUGUUAGGGAAGAACAAGUGCCGUUCAAAUAGGGCGGCACCUUGACGGUACCUAACCAGAAAGCCACGGCUAACUACGUGCCAGCAGCCGCGGUAAUACGUAGGUGGCAAGCGUUGUCCGGAAUUAUUGGGCGUAAAGGGCUCGCAGGCGGUUUCUUAAGUCUGAUGUGAAAGCCCCCGGCUCAACCGGGGAGGGUCAUUGGAAACUGGGGAACUUGAGUGCAGAAGAGGAGAGUGGAAUUCCACGUGUAGCGGUGAAAUGCGUAGAGAUGUGGAGGAA